UCGUGGAAAUCGAGUGAAAGUUGGUCCGCCUUUGAUAAAUCCGAUGAUCGAAAUUUAUCUUCGACGUUAAAAUGCCCUUGUUUUGUUUAUCGAACCGCAGAUCUCUCCACUGGCAGUAAUGGCCUUGGAACAAUAUAUCAGUCGUUUUAAAACGUUAUUAAAUUUCAAUUAAUCCUUAAUUUCACGACAUGGACUUCGAUGAUUAUGAAACAUUACCUUGCGGAUCUACAACCACUCACAUGGUUGCAGGUGCUUUUGCUGGAAUCAUGGAACAUUGCGUUAUGUAUCCUUUAGAUUCAGUAAAAACUCGUAUGCAGAGUUUAAAGCCCAGUCCAAAAGCAUAUUAUCGUAGUAUUCCCGAAGCGUUUUCCAAAAUAAUUCGUCAUGAAGGUGUCCUUCGUCCAGUUCGGGGCAUGUCGGCUGUUGUGGUGGGUGCUGGACCAGCUCAUGCUUUGUAUUUUUCAUGCUAUGAAAAAAUGAAACGCAUGAUUAGCGGUACUGAACAUGGGUCUGGUAAACCAUUGGCUCAAGGGCUUGCUGGUGCUGUAUCGACGUUACUUCAUGACGCAAUUAUGAAUCCUGCAGAUGUGGUCAAGCAAAGACUGCAGAUGUACAACAGCCCUUACAAGUCUUGUCUAGAGUGCUUUAAGAACAUAUGGAAGACUGAAGGGGCCCGUGCAUUUUACAGGAGUUACACCACUCAACUGACCAUGAAUGUUCCCUUCCAGAGCAUACAUUUCAUGACCUAUGAAUUUUGUCAAGAACUGACCAAUCAUAAAAGGACUUACAACCCACUCGCUCACAUGUUUUCGGGAGCUAUAUCUGGUGCUUUUGCUGCAGCAGUCACCACACCUCUAGAUGUUUGCAAAACUCUUCUUAACACACAAGAACAACAAGCAUUGAACUUGACAAAACAGACCCAGAUCAGUGGACUCAUAAAUGCCGCAACCGUUAUUUACAGGUUCAGUGGUCCAAGGGGAUAUUUUCGGGGAAUGCAAGCUCGAGUCAUAUACCAGGUGCCUUCCACUGCGAUAGCUUGGUCCGUGUAUGAAUUUUUCAAGUAUACAAUAGGAAAGUAUGAUAAUUACAAGCCAGAACACAGUUCCCUCAUAGCACAUGCUAGCUCCAUGGAAAACAAGCAUCCCACAUCUGAAGAACUGCCAAGAUUUCCAGUUGUUUACAGCAAAUAAUUGCUUCUAUCAUGUAGGCUUCUGAUGAGAAGUAAGUACAUAGCUGUGUUUUCAUCUCAGUAUAGAAGCUGUAUGUUCUACUGAUUCAUGAUUAUUCGAAGAUAAGCUGUUUUAACUCACCAAUUCACCAUUUAAAGAAAAUUGGUUUUUAAGUUUCCAUGCUUAAUCAAGCCAUAGAAUCAAAACGAAAGCAAAAACAGAAGAACGAAUAGCCAUUUUCUGAUAAUGUUUACGUGAUUUCGCAAAAGCUUAUGUUCAAAAUGUUGUAGAUAUUAGUUUGUAAAAUAUGUCAAUAUUUUUAUAUUGAAACUGUUAAAACAUGAUUUCUGUUAUUACUGCCUAAAGUAAUUAAAAAUUAUUAA